rnacentral:rRNA from 1 species
CCUACGGGUGGCAGCAGUGAGGAAUAUUGGUCAAUGGGCGGAAGCCUGAACCAGCCAAGUCGCGUGAGGGACUAAGGCCCUACGGGUCGUAAACCUCUUUUGCCGGGGAUCAGUGCCCAGCUCGCGAGCUGGGCGGGAGCGUACCCGGAGAAAAAGCAUCGGCUCACUCCGUGCCAGCAGCCGCGGUAAUCCGGAGGAUGCGAGCGUUAUCCGGAUUUAUUGGGUUUAAGGGGUGCGUAGGCGGGCCUUCAGGCCGGCGGUAAAAUUGCGGGGCUCAACCCCGCCGAGCCGUCGGAAGCGGGGCCUAGAGUACCGGAGAAGUACGGGGAAUGCGUGGUGUAGCGGUGAAAUGCAUAGAUAUCACGCAGAACCCCGAUUGCGAAGGCAGCGUACCGGCCGGUCACUGACGCUGAGGCACGAAAGCGCGGGUAUCGAACAGGAUUAGAUACCCCUGUAGUC